rnacentral:rRNA from 1 species
GUCGAGAAUCUUCGGCAAUGGGCGCAAGCCUGACCGAGCGACGCCGCGUGGAGGAUGAAGGCCCUCGGGUUGUAAACUCCUGUCGAGGGGGAAAAAGGACCGCAAGGUCUUGAUUGAUCCCUGGAGGAAGCACGGGCUAAGUUCGUGCCAGCAGCCGCGGUAAGACGAACCGUGCGAACGUUAUUCGGAAUCACUGGGCUUAAAGCGCGUGUAGGCGGAUACGCACGUCUGUCGCUGAAAUCCCCCGGCUCAACCGGGGAACGGGCGUGGAUACGGCGUGUCUGGAGGGGCGUAGGGGGACCUGGAACUUCCGGUGGAGCGGUGAAAUGCGUUGAGAUCGGAAGGAACGCCCGUGGCGAAAGCGAGGUCCUGGACGCCUACUGACGCUGAGACGCGAAAGCCAGGGGAGCGAACGGGAUUAGAAACCCUAGUAGUCC